CUUAGUAACGGCGAGUGAAGCGGCAAAAGCUCAAAUUUGAAAUCUGGCACCUUCGGUGUCCGAGUUGUAAUUUGAAGAAGGUAACUUUGGAGUUGGCUCUUGUCUAUGUUCCUUGGAACAGGACGUCACAGAGGGUGAGAAUCCCGUGCGAUGAGAUGCCCAAUUCUAUGUAAAGUGCUUUCGAAGAGUCGAGUUGUUUGGGAAUGCAGCUCUAAGUGGGUGGUAAAUUCCAUCUAAAGCUAAAUAUUGGCGAGAGACCGAUAGCGAACAAGUACAGUGAUGGAAAGAUGAAAAGAACUUUGAAAAGAGAGUGAAAAAGUACGUGAAAUUGUUGAAAGGGAAGGGCUUGAGAUCAGACUUGGUAUUUUGCGAUCCUUUCCUUCUUGGUUGGGUUCCUCGCAGCUUACUGGGCCAGCAUCGGUUUGGAUGGUAGGAUAAUGACUAAGGAAUGUGGCUCUACUUCGGUGGAGUGUUAUAGCCUUGGUUGAUACUGCCUGUCUAGACCGAGGACUGCGUCUUUUGACUAGGAUGUUGGCAUAAUGAUCUUAAGCCACCCGUCUUGAAACACGGACCAAGGAGUCUAACGUCUAUGCGAGUGUUUGGGUGUAAAACCCGUACGCGUAAUGAAAGUGAACGUAGGUGAGAGCUCUUAAGAGUGCAUCAUCGACCGAUCCUGAUGUCUUCGGAUGGAUUUG
rnacentral:rRNA from 1 species